rnacentral:rRNA from 1 species
UACGUAGGGCGCAAGCGUUAUCCGGAAUUAUUGGGCGUAAAGAGCUCGAGGCGGUUUGUCGCGUCUGCCGGGAAAGUCCGGGGCUCAACUCCGGAUCUGCGGUGGGUACGGGCAGACUAGAGUGAUGUAGGGGAGACUGGAAUUCCUGGUGUAGCGGUGAAAUGCGCAGAUAUCAGGAGGAACACCGAUGGCGAAGGCAGGUCUCUGGGCAUUAACUGACGCUGAGGAGCGAAAGCAUGGGGAGCGAACAGG